CCUACGGGAGGCAGCAGUGAGGAAUAUUGGUCAAUGGACGAGAGUCUGAACCAGCCAAGUAGCGUGAAGGAUGACUGCCCUAUGGGUUGUAAACUUCUUUUAUAUGGGAAUAAAAUGUUCCACGUGUGGGAUUUUGUAUGUACCAUAUGAAUAAGCAUCGGCUAACUCCGUGCCAGCAGCCGCGGUAAUACGGAGGAUCCGAGCGUUAUCCGGAUUUAUUGGGUUUAAAGGGUGCGUAGGUGGAUUGUUAAGUCAGUGGUGAAAGUGUGCGGCUCAACCGUAAAAUUGCAGUUGAAACUGGCAGUCUUGAGUACAGGAGAGGUGGGCGGAAUGCGUGGUGUAGCGGUGAAAUGCUUAGAUAUCACGAAGAACUCCGAUUGCGAAGGCAGCUCACUGGACUGCAACUGACACUGAGGCUCGAAAGUGUGGGUAUCGAACAGGAUUAGAUACCCGGGUAGUC
rnacentral:rRNA from 1 species